GUCCACGCCCUAACGAUGCGAACUAGGUGUUGGGAAGGAGACUUCUUAGUACCGCAGCUAACGCGUGAAGUUCGCCGCCUGGGGAGGUACGGUCGCAAGAUUAAAACUACAAAGGAAUUGACGGGGACCCGCACAAGCGGUGGAUGAUGUGGAUUAAUUCGAUGCAACGCGAAAACCUUAACCUACCCUUGACAUGUCAGGAAGUCUGCUGAGAGGUGGAUGUGCCCGAAAGGGAACCUGAACACAGGUGCUGCAUGGCUGUCGU
rnacentral:rRNA from 1 species